rnacentral:tRNA from 1 species
GGAGUUGUGCCUGAAUUUAAAGGGCCACUUUGAUAGGGUGGAUAACGAGGGUUAGAACCCCUCCAACUCCU